UAACACGUACUGUGCGAACGUUAUUCGGAAUCACUGGGCUUAAAGGGUACGUAGGCGGUUUAUCAAGUCAGGUGUGAAAUGCCUGAGCUCAACUGAGGCACUGCGCUUGAAACUGAUAAACUAGAGUAUUCCAGGGGUGUGCGGAACUGCCAGUGGAGCGGUGAAAUGCGUUGAUAUUGGCAGGAACACCGGAGGCGAAGGCGGCACACUGGGGGAUAACUGACGCUGAGGUACGAAAGCCAGGGUAGCGAACGGGAUUAGAUACCCCGGUAGUCCUGGCUGUAAACGAUGAGCACUGGGCGAGAGGAAGUUCGCUUCUUUUUGCCGUAGGGAAACCAUUAAGUGCUCCGCCUGGGGAGUAUGGUCGCAAGGCUG
rnacentral:rRNA from 1 species